rnacentral:rRNA from 1 species
GACGAACGCUGGCGGCGUGCCUAACACAUGCAAGUCGAGCGAUGAAAUCCCUUCGGGGAUGGAUUAGCGGCGGACGGGUGAGUAACACGUGGGUAACCUGCCUCAAAGUGGGGGAUAGCCUUCCGAAAGGAAGAUUAAUACCGCAUAAUAUUAGAUUUUCGCAUGAAGAACUAAUUAAAGAAGUAAUUCGCUUUGAGAUGGACCCGCGGCGCAUUAGCUAGUUGGUGAGGUAAUGGCUCACCAAGGCGACGAUGCGUAGCCGACCUGAGAGGGUGAUCGGCCACAUUGGAACUGAGACACGGUCCAGACUCCUACGGGAGGCAGCAGUGGGGAAUAUUGCACAAUGGGCGAAAGCCUGAUGCAGCAACGCCGCGUGAGUGAUGAAGGCCUUCGGGUUGUAAAGCUCUGUCUUUUGGGACGAUAAUGACGGUACCAAAGGAGGAAGUCACGGCUAACUACGUGCCAGCCGCCGCAGUAACAC